UGUUUUGUGGCUUAGUUGGUUAAAGCGCCGGUCUAGCGAAUACGGAGUCGUGGGUUCGAAUCCCACCAGAACGC
rfam:Aedes albopictus isolate Foshan contig6377, whole genome shotgun sequence.